rnacentral:rRNA from 1 species
UCAAGCGACUAAGUGCAUCUGGUGGAUGCCUUGGCGAUCACAGGCGAUGAAGGACGCGGUAGCCUGCGAAAAGCUACGGGGAGCUGGCAAACAAGCUUUGAUCCGUAGAUGUCCGAAUGGGGAAACCCACUCCUUUUGGAGUAUCCAUGGCUGAAUACAUAGGCCAUGCGAAGCGAACGCGGUGAACUGAAACAUCUAAGUAACCGCAGGAAAAGAAAUCAACCGAGAUUCCCAAAGUAGUGGCGAGCGAAAUGGGAUGAGCCUUGCACUCUUUAUUUGUAUUGUUAGCCGAACGCUCUGGAAAGUGCGGCCAUAGUGGGUGAUAGCCCUGUACGCGAAAGGAUCUUAGAAGUGAAAUCGAGUAGGACGGAGCACGAGAAACUUUGUCUGAACAUGGGGGGACCAUCCUCCAAGGCUAAAUACUACUGACUGACCGAUAGUGAACCAGUACCGUGAGGGAAAGGCGAAAAGAACCCCGGCGAGGGGAGUGAAAAAGAACCUGAAACCGUGUACGUACAAGCAGUGGGAGCACCCUUUGGGGUGUGACUGCGUACCUUUUGUAUAAUGGGUCAGCGACUUAUAUUCUGUAGCAAGGUUAACCGUAUAGGGGAGCCGAAGGGAAACCGAGUCUUAACUGGGCGUUAAGUUGCAGGGUAUAGACCCGAAACCCGGUGAUCUAGCCAUGGGCAGGUUGAAGGUUGGGUAACACUAACUGGAGGACCGAACCGACUAAUGUUGAAAAAUUAGCGGAUGACUUGUGGCUGGGGGUGAAAGGCCAAUCAAACCGGGAGAUAGCUGGUUCUCCCCGAAAGCUAUUUAGGUAGCGCCUCGUGAACUCAUCUUCGGGGGUAGAGCACUGUUUCGGCUAGGGGGUCAUCCCGACUUACCAACCCGAUGCAAACUGCGAAUACCGAAGAAUGUUAUCACGGGAGACACACGGCGGGUGCUAACGUCCGUCGUGAAAAGGGAAACAACCCAGACCGUCAGCUAAGGUCCCAAAGUCAUGGUUAAGUGGGAAACGAUGUGGGAAGGCUUAGACAGCUAGGAGGUUGGCUUAGAAGCAGCCAUCCUUUAAAGAAAGCGUAAUAGCUCACUAGUCGAGUCGGCCUGCGCGGAAGAUGUAACGGGGCUCAAACUGUGCACCGAAGCUGCGGAUAUCGAAAGAUAUGGUAGGGGAGCGUUCUGUAGGUCUGUGAAGGUGGUGGUGUAAACCCUGCUGGAGAUAUCAGAAGUGCGAAUGCUGACAUGAGUAGCGAUAAAGCGGGUGAAAAGCCCGCUCGCCGAAAGCCCAAGGUUUCCUACGCAACGUUCAUCGGCGUAGGGUGAGUCGGCCCCUAAGGCGAGGCAGAAAUGCGUAGCUGAUGGGAAGCAGGUCAAUAUUCCUGCACCAUUGUUAGAUGCGAUGGGGGGACGGAUCGCGGAAGGUUGUCCGGGUGUUGGAAGUCCCGGUCGCUGCAUUGGAGAAGGCGCUUAGGCAAAUCCGGGCGCGGAAUUCAAGGGUGUGGCGCGAGCUCCUUAGGGAGCGAAGCAAUUGGAAGUGGUUCCAAGAAAAGCCUCUAAGCUUCAGUCUAACGAUGACCGUACCGCAAACCGACACAGGUGGGCAGGAUGAGAAUUCUAAGGCGCUUGAGAGAACUCAGGAGAAGGAACUCGGCAAAUUGACACCGUAACUUCGGGAGAAGGUGUGCCUCUGUUGGUGUAGGACUUCGCGUCCGAAGCUGAUAGAGGUCGCAGAGAAUAGGUGGCUGCGACUGUUUAACAAAAACACAGCUCUGUGCCAACACGAAAGUGGACGUAUACGGAGUGACGCCUGCCCGGUGCUGGAAGAUUAAAUGAUGGGGUGCAAGCUCUUGAUUGAAGUCCCAGUAAACGGCGGCCGUAACGAUAACGGUCCUAAGGUAGCGAAAUUCCUUGUCGGGUAAGUUCCGACCCGCACGAAUG